GGUUUGACUUCUGGCUCAGAUUGAACGCUGGCGGGAUGCUUUACACAUGCAAGUCGAACGGCAGCACGGACUUUCGGUCUGGUGGCGUGAGUGGCGAACGGGUGAGUAAUGUAUCGGAACGCCUAGUAGUGAUAACUGACGCGAAAGCGUAGCUAAUACCGUACAUUGCCCUUCGGGGGAAAGCGGGGACCUCGGGCUCGCACUAUUAGAGCGGCCGAUAUCGGAUUAGCUAGUUGGUGGGUAACGGCUCACACCAAGGCGACGAUCCGUGAAGCUGGUUUGCAGAGAGGAAUGACCAGCCACACUGGGACUGAGACAUGUCCAGACUCUACGGAGGCAGUGGGUACUGGACAAUGGGGGGAAACCCUGAUCCGUUAUCCCGCGUGUGCGAUGAAGGCCUCUCGGGCUGUGUAAGCACUUUUGGCAGGAAAGAACGAGGCACGAUAAUGACCUCGUGCAACUGACGGUAAUCAGUGCAGAAGGCACCGGCUAACCACGCCAGCAGCCGCGGUGAAUACGGUAGGCAAAGGUUAAUCGAAUUACUGGGUGAAGUGUGCAGGCGGUUCGGAAAGAAAGAUGAAAUCCCAGAGCUUAACUUUGGAACUGCAUUUUUAACUACUGAGCUAGUGUGUCAGAGGGAGGUGGAAUUCGCGUGUAUGGUGAAAUGCGUGAUAUGCCGCGGAGGAACACCGAUGGCGAAGGCAGCCUCCUGUUAACACUGACGCUCAUGCACGAGUGCGGGGAGCAAACAGGAUUAGAUACCGGUAGUCCACGCCCUAAACGAUGUCAACUAGCCGUUGGGGCCUUCGGGCCUGGUAGCAGCUAACGCGUGAAGCCGACCGCCUGGGGAGUAUUGGUCGCAAGAUUGAACCAGCGAAAUUGACGGGGACCCGCACAAGCGGUGGAUGAUGUGGACGCUAAUUCGAUGCAACGCGAAAACCUUGCCUAAAUUCUGACAUGUCUGGAAUCCCGAAGAGAUUUGGGAGUGCUCGAGAACCGGAACACAGGUACGCAAGGGCUGUCGUCAGCUCGUCGUGAGAUGUUGGGUUGAAGUCCCGCAACGAGCGGUAACCCUUGUCAUUAGUUGCUACGAAGGUGUACCCUAAUGAGACUGCCGGUGACAAACCGGAGGAAGGUGGGGAUGACGUCAAGUCUCAGUGGCCCUUAUGGGUAGGGCUUCACAUCGGUCAUACAAUGGUCGUGACAGUGGUCGCCAAUCCCGCGAGGGGGAGCCAAUCCCAGAAACCCGAUCGUAGUCCGGAUCGCAGGUUCAACUGACUGCGUGAAGUCGGAAUCGCUAGUAACUGCGGAUCAGCAUGUCGCGGUGAAUACGUUCCCGGUCUUGUACACACCGCCCGUCACACCAUGGAGUGGUUUAAAUGGAAGUAGUUAGUCAACCGUAAGGAGGGCGAUUACCACGGGUAGGAUUCUAUGACUGGGGUGAAGUCGUAACAAGGUAGCUCUUCGAGCACAAUUGAUGCCCCCA
rnacentral:rRNA from 1 species